ensembl:lncRNA
GUCACUGGUUGAGUAUUGGAACAGACAUGCUGGUUAAGAUUCAGGUCACUGGUUGAGUAUUGGAACAGACAUGCUGGUUAAGAUUCAGGUCACUGGUUGAGUAUUGCAACAGACAUGCUGGUUAAGAUUCAGGUCACUGGUUGAGUAUUGGAACAGACAUGCUGGUUAAGAUUCAGGUCACUGGUUGAGGUAAAUGCAGGUGUAUUGUGUUGUUAGCCUUGAAAAGUGUAAUGUCAUAAAAAGCAAUGCAACAUGUCUAGAAAACAGUCAGACACAAAGAUGAGCCAGAGGAGGUUGUUUGGUGAAGACUUAACAAGGCUUGUGGAACGAGUCAGAAGAAAGUGGAUGUGUUGUUGGUCACUAGGGUCAGGGUUCUUUGACCAGCAGGUUUACCUAACAGAUAGAUAUACAACAUACUAGAGCAUGUGAAACACCAAAGUCAUACCACCUAUAUAGAGAUGUAAACAUUUCCUGGACUGGACACUUGGUUGUGGAGCCAGUGUACUGCCACUGGUUACAGCUUGAUUCCCACAGGCCUGGAUUCACUCCAAUCCCACAUUAUCAUUGUUUAAAACAGCGUGAUUGGAUAAGGUGGUCUAGUUUAAAACAGCGUGAUUGGAUAAGGUGGUCUAGUUUAAAACGACGUGAUUGGAUAAGGUGGUCUAGUUUUAAACAAGCCCAUCAUGCAUGUUCUCUUGGCUCCUCCAUUUCCUAAACCUUUUAAAUAUACAACCCCGAACUCGCGGGCCUAGGACUACAGACUCAGAGUGUUACAUCAUAGACCCUCCCAACUGAGUGUCACGAAAUAAACAGUCCACAAUGUCUUCUGAUAUUUACACUGGAAGACAAAAGGGGAACUGCCCCUAGUUUUAUCAAAUAAUUGUCAAGCUUCUUCUUGGAAUCUUUUUGGAGAGUGGAACAACCCCAACCGUAGGCCUUCUUCUGUCAACAGUAGAUUCAUUGUACUGGGUGUUUGUUAUUAUCAUUAUAAACAAUACUGAAUGUCAAUUAUUAUCUUCUUAAUUGAUAGUACACUAAAAUAUUCUUAUAACACGUGCAGUGCAAUUUUUCAUUGGUAUAACAAUAUUAGUUCUGAACACCAGUGGCUAGCAUUUGGCACCCAGUAGGUGAUAGGACAUCUAUACCCCUAAUAACCCUGUCUUGUAGUUUACACAAGCUAUUAGCAAGUUUUUGUAUCGUGAAGUGUUUGACAUCUGAUUACUAACACCACAACUCUCUCAACACCAUCCAAAUACUCCAAAUGAGCAGUUGCUGUAGUCAUGGAAAUAAGUCAUUUUACACUUUGUUGAAUUACUACUGGCUGCCACGAAAAUGAAGAUUUUAAUGAUGCAAAAAUAAUAAACAUCAAGAAAAUGUAUUAUACUUUGUUUGAAUAUAUGCUUGUAUUUUAACAAACUCUUUCUUUUUACUGCACAUGAAAAAACUGCUCUUAAAAAUAUAUAUUUUUGAAUGAAGCAACAUGAAAGCAUAACAAACCAUAUUCUUUCCAGGUCAUUCUUUUACUAGACAUUGAUUGUAGUUGAGAGGAAUGCAUUUUUGUGGUUGAACACAGAAUUGUUGGGAUAAAUAACUAUGAAGACAUUUCCUACUUCCUGCUAUUGUCAGUGUGGUGUAACUGUUACUACUCCUAUUAACUAAUGUUUUGGCCUGUUUUGUAAUACUGUUCUUGGUUAAAUUUUUUGUAUUGUGUUUGAAGAUGCGAUUGGUGUUCAUUUGACUGGUCAUUUGACCAGUGAAACUUCUGCUGUCUGAUUUGAUCUCCGUAUACGGCUACUAACUAGCAUGACAUGCUAACUCCCGCUCGCUAACAUAGCGUCCGUCUUCAUGUGGACUGUGGUUAACAGGACUAAUGACACACACAAACACACACACACACACACCUUUAUUCACAGUUACACACACAUAUAUGCACAUGAAACACACAUUUGGUUUCAAGCAUCCCCAUAGGGUGGAGGUGUUGCUUUCUCUUGAAGGUUUUGUGGUUUUUGAACACAACAGAGGCUGUCUGUCAGUGCCUCUCGUCCAAUCCCGCUGCAGCGCACCAACUUCCUACAUUCAACUUCCUGGUCUCUGCACCCCUCCAUGACCCCUCCCCUUUCUCCUUUCUAAGCCAGCCCUCCCCAUCAGCCUCCCCCCAAAACCACGACCCAGGCAUGACUGCUUUCUGAUUGGCCUAGAGAAGACAGACAAAGCCUAUGUCAAAGCCUGUGUACUGCAUCGCCUCCCCAGCUCUUCCGGGGUCUCCCUGCUCCUCCCUCCUCCCUGCACUCCUUCCCCCAUGCAUCUGACAUAAAACACAGGCUCUUAUCAGAUGAGGCAGUCCUGGCCAGAGUGGGACUCAUGGAAGACACCGGAAGAGGAGAAACUAGUACGGGUGGUUGUGUCGGCUGAUGUUGUCUCUCUGGUCAAAAAUGAAACAGUGGUGUCUCCUCCUGACCAUAUUGUGAUUCCUGUUGCAUGUAUAGCACUUACUGAAUGAAGAUGUAUUAUAAACAUGAAUGUACAUACUACUGCUACUACUACUAAUAGUAAUAGUAAUUACACAAGUACUCCAGGGUGGACUGUAUUACUAUGUCUUUGAAACUACAAAGGGAAUGGACAUAGAUCUAUGUAAAAUGUUGUGUAUGUCACUGAGGAGGCGGGGCGGGGGCGGGGUAAUUGUAAAAUUGUAUCAGUACAUCGUGUGCAUUAAGCAGAGCAGCCCUUAUUUUAAAGAAAACAAAUAUUAUAUGGAAUUCUAGCUGUAUAUAUCUAUACUGUAUGUAUUUUUGGUUUCAAUGAAAAUGCAGAGAUAAGAAGACGUGAAUAUUUAUUGCUCUUAUAAAACUUGUUCUGGUUGUUGAAAUAGAUUGUGUGUGUUUUUAUUUUAUCCAGUUUGCAUGUUCAAUUGGGUGUAAAUGGAAUGAGCUUCUGG